rnacentral:rRNA from 11 species
ACGGGUGAGUAACGCGUGGGAACCUUCCCAAUGGUACGGAAUAGCCCAGGGAAACUUGGGGUAAUACCGUAUAAGCCCUACGGGGGAAAGAUUUAUCGCCAUUGGAUGGGCCCGCGUCUGAUUAGCUUGUUGGUGAGGUAAUGGCUCACCAAGGCGACGAUCAGUAGCUGGUCUGAGAGGAUGAUCAGACACACUGGGACUGAGACACGGCCC